UACGAGGGGUCCUAGCGUUGUUCGGAAUCAUUGGGCGUAAAGCGUGUGUAGGUGGCUUUGUAAGUCAGGUGUGAAAGCCCAGGGCUUAACCCUGGAAGUGCAUUUGAUACUGCGAAGCUUGAGUACUGGAGAGGAUAGUAGAAUUCCUGGUGUAGUGGUGAAAUACGUAGAUAUCAGGAGGAAUACCGGUGGCGAAGGCGGCUAUCUGGCCAUGUACUGACACUGAGACACGAAAGCGUGGGGAUCAAACAGG
rnacentral:rRNA from 1 species